rnacentral:rRNA from 1 species
GACGGGGCCCCGCACAAGCAGCGGAGCGUGUGGUUUAAUUCGAUGCUACACGAAGAACCUUACCAGGGUUUGACAUACAAGUAGUAGGGAAAGGAAACUGGACCGACCCUUCGGGGAGCUUUGUACAGGUGCUGCAUGGCUGUCGUCAGCUCGUGUCGUGAGAUGUUCGGUUAAGUCCGCUAACGAGCGCAACCCUCGCUGUGUGUUACAAGUGUCACACGGAACUGCCGGUCAUAAACCGGAGGAAGGUGGGGAUGACGUCAAGUCAGCAUGGCCUUUAUAUCUUGGGCUACACGCACGCUACAAUGGGAAGGGACAAUAGGUUGCGAAGCCGCGAGGCGGAGCCAAUCCAGCAAAACUUCCCUCAGUUCAGAUUGCAGGCUGCAACUCGCCUGCAUGAAGUUGGAGUUGCUAGUAAACGCAGGUCAGCCAUACUGCGUUGAAUACGUUCCCGGGGCUU